GCCCCUGAAUACAAAUGGCUGAGUGGCCGGUUUUUCAAGCCGGAACAGCGGGUUCGAUUCCCGCCGGGGGUA
rnacentral:tRNA from 1 species